GACGAACGCUGGCGGCGUGCUUAACACAUGCAAGUCGAACGGAAAGGCACUGCCUUUGUGGGGUGCUCGAGUGGCGAACGGGUGAGUAACACGUGAGUAACCUGCCCUUGACUGUGGGAUAACUUCAGGAAACUGGGGCUAAUACCGGAUAGGAGCACCUGCUGCAUGGCGGGGGUUGGAAAGUUGCGGCGGUUGGGGAUGGACACGCGGCUGAUUAGCAUGAUGGUGGGGUAGUGGUAAAGCAAGGCGUAGACGGGUAGCCGGCCUGAGAGGGUGACCGGCCACAGUGGGACUGAGAUACGGCCCAGACUCCUACGGGAGGCAGCAGUGGGGAAUAUUGCACAAUGGGCGGAAGGCUGAUGCAGCAACGCCGCGUGCGGGAGGACGGCCUUCGGGUUGGAACCCGCUUUCGCCUGUGACGAAGCGUGAGUGACGGUAAUGGGUAAAGAAGCACCGGCUAACUACGUG
rnacentral:rRNA from 1 species